CGCGUAGGUGGCUUGGUAAGCGUGUGGUGAAAGCCCGGGCUCAACCCCGGGUCUGCCGUGCGAACUGCCAAGCUGGAGCAUAGUAGAGGCGGGUGGAAUUCCGGGUGUAGCGGUGGAAUGCGUAGAUAUCCGGAAGAACACCGGUGGCGAAGGCGGCCCGCUGGGCUAUUGCUGACACUGAUGCGCGACAGCGUGGGAGCAAACA
rnacentral:rRNA from 1 species